CGCGUAGGUGGUAGUGUAAGUCUGAGGUGGAAUCCCAGGGCUUAACCCUGGAACUGCCUUGGAAACUGCAUUACUUGAGUCAGUGAGGGGAGGGUAGAAUUCCUGGUGUAGCGGUGAAAUGCGUAGAUAUCAGGAGGAAGGCCUGUGGCGAAGGCGGCCCUCUGGUGCUGGACUGACACUGAGGCGCGAAAGCGUGGGGAGCAAACAGGAUUAGAUACCCUGGUAGUCCACGCCCUAAACGGUGGGCACUAGGUGUAGGGCUCGUAAGGGUUCUGUGCCGAAGGGAAACCAUUAAGUGCCCCGCCUGGGGAGUACGGCCGCAAAGGUUGAA
rnacentral:rRNA from 1 species